AGAGGAGAAACAAUUUUCAGCGUUUAUCAGCAUAUGUAUUAGUAGUCAAUACCACAAUGAAAUUACCCCUAAAAAGUGAUCACCAUCAUAAAUGCUAUCUGCAACUAAUCACUGACCCAGCUGGACUAGAUAAACGGAAAGUUUCAUCUAUAAAAUGUCAGACUAAUUCAAUGUCUUAC